AUACGGAGGGUGCAAGCGUUAUCCGGAAUCAUUGGGUUUAAAGGGUCCGUAGGCGGACUAUUAAGUCAGAGGUGAAAUCCCACAGCUCAACUGUGGAACUGCCUUUGAUACUGGUAGUCUUGAGUUAUAUGGAAGUAGAUAGAAUGUGUAGUGUAGCGGUGAAAUGCAUAGAUAUUACACAGAAUACCGAUUGCGAAGGCAGUCUACUACGUAUAUACUGACGCUAAGGGACGAAAGCGUGGGGAGCGAACAGGAUUAGAAACCCCUGUAGUCC
rnacentral:rRNA from 1 species